AGACCUGGCGGCAGCCUAACACAUGCAGUCGAGCGGUUGACGGGAGCUUGCUCCCUGAUUCAGCGGCGGACGGGUGAGUAGUGCCUAGGAAUCUGCCUAUUAGUGGGGGACAACGUUUCGAAAGGAACGCUAAUACCGCAUACGUCCUACGGGAGAAAGCAGGGGACCUUCGGGCCUUGCGCUAAUAGAUGAGCCUAGGUCGGAUUAGCUAGUUGGUGAGGUAAUGGCUCACCAAGGCGACGAUCCGUAACUGGUCUGAGAGGAUGAUCAGUCACACUGGAACUGAGACACGGUCCAGACUCCUACGGGAGGCAGCAGUGGGGAAUAUUGGACAAUGGGCGAAAGCCUGAUCCAGCCAUGCCGCGUGUGUGAAGAAGGUCUUCGGAUUGUAAAGCACUUUAAGUUGGGAGGAAGGGUUGUAGAUUAAUACUCUGCAAUUUUGACGUCACCGACAGAAUAAGCACCGGCUAACUCUGUGCCAGCAGCCGCGGUAAU
rnacentral:rRNA from 1 species